rnacentral:rRNA from 1 species
UACGUAGGCAGCAAGCGUUGUUCGGAGUUACUGGGCGUAAAGGGUGUGUAGGCGGUUGUUUUAAGUUUGGUGUGAAAUCUCCCGGCUCAACUGGGAGGGUGCGCCAAUACUGAAUGACUAGAGUGCGGGAGAGGAAAGUGGAAUUCCUGGUGUAGCGGUGAAAUGCGUAGAUAUCAGGAGGAACACCGUGGUGUAGACGGCUUUCUGGACCUAACUGCGCUAAGACACGAAAGCGUGGGGGAGCAAAACGGG